rnacentral:lncRNA from 1 species
UUGUUGUUCACUUGGGACUUCCUCUGUUAUUUCAAAUGAUGUCAUACCCUAUAUUCAAAAUCAUAAAAUUUGAAUGAAAUUCAUUGUUAAAAUUAGAGAAGGAAAUUGUUUUACACAAUGAUAGUUGCAAGGUAAUUGAUCUUUAUAUAUUAGUACACAAAUAUUAAGAAACAGUACUUUAGUUGGAAGAUACUCAAGUACUUAUAGGUAAGUACUAUGGAUAAACAGCUUAGUUAAGUACUUAUAGCAUAAACACUUAUCAUAUACAUGAGUGUUUAUGCCUAAGCUAUUCUAUAAUAAAGGAUAGGAUAAAGUCAUCAAAUUGCUUUUAUAUAAGCUAUAAGUUAUUUUUAUAAACUAUAGUGAAAAACUUAUGAAAAUUAAAUAAGCAAAAAAUAUUUUAUGAAGUUGUUUCCAUGAGUUCUUUCAAAAUAUUAAUCUCACAAGUGUCUAUGUCAGUAGAUAAGUUCAAAUAAGUUAAUCCAAAAUAAAUCCUUAAUCAAUUGAACGUAUCUUCAAUGAAAUCAUCUAUUGUUGGAAGUUUUCAUAAUUUUUGCUGGGAGUUCUAAUGCNNN